AGGAGGCAGCAGGCGCGCAAUUACCCAAUCCGACUCGGGGAGGUAGUGACAAUAAAUAACAAUGCUGGGCUAUCGUAGUCCGGCAAUUGGAAUGAGAACAAUUUAAUCCCUUAACGAGGAACAAUUGGAGGGCAAGUCUGGUGCCAGCAGCCGCGGUAAUUCCAGCUCCAAUAGCGUAUAUUAAAGUUGUUGCAGUUAAAAAACUCGUAGUUGGAUUUCGGGGCGGCCCGACUGGUCCGCCGCGAGGUGAGCACUGGUCGGCCGCUCUUCCUCUCGGAAGCCCCGACUGCUCUUCGUUGCAGUGGUCGGGGAGUUCGGGACGUUUACUUUGAAAAAAUUAGAGUGUUCAAGGCAGGCCGUCGCCUGAAUACAUUAGCAUGGAAUAAUGGAAGAGGACCUCGGUCCCGUUUUGUUGGUUUCUUGGACCGAAGUAAUGAUUAAGAGGGACAGUUGGGGGCAUUCGUAUUUAAUUGUCAGAGGUGAAAUUCUCGGAUUUAUGAAAGACGAACGACUGCGAAAGCAUUUGCCAAGGAUGUUUUCAUUAAUCAAGAACGAAAGUUAGGGGUUCGAAGACGAUCAGAUACCGUCGUAGUCCUAACCAUAAACUAUGCCGACUAGGGAUCGGUGGAUGUUAGCGUUGACUCCAUCGCACCUAUGAG
rnacentral:rRNA from 1 species